UACGGGGGGGGCAAGCGUUGUUCGGAAUUACGGGGCGUAAAGGGCUCGUAGGCGGCCAACUAAGCCAGACGUGAAAUCCCUCGGCUUAACCGGGGAACUGCGUCUGAUACUGGAUGGCUUGAGUUUGGGAGAGGGAUGCGGAAUUCCAGGUGUAGCGGUGAAAUGCGUAGAUAUCUGGAGGAACACCGGUGGCGAAAGCGGCAUCCUGGACCAACACUGACGCUGAGGAGCGAAAGCGUGGGUAGCAAACAGG
rnacentral:rRNA from 1 species